AUUCGCCCUUCCUACGGGGGGCAGCAGUAAGGAAUAUUGGGCAAUGGGCGCGAGCCUGACCCAGCCAUGCCGCGUGCAGGAAGACGGCCCUAUGGGUUGUAAACUGCUUUUAUACGGGAAUAAUUGUGGGUAUGUAUAUCCACUUGCAAGUACUGUAUGAAUAAGCAUCGGCUAACUCCGUGCCAGCAGCCGCGGUAAUA
rnacentral:rRNA from 1 species